GAUGAACGCUGGCGGCGUGCCUAAUACAUGCAAGUCGAACGAGGAUUGUAGCAAUACACUCCUAGUGGCGAACGGGUGAGUAACGCGUUGGUGACCUGCCCCGAAGCGAGGGAUAACAGUUCGAAAGGACUGCUAAUACCCCAUGUGAUCACCGGUCUUAGAAUCCGGUGAUUAAACGGAGUAAUCCGCUUUGGGAGGGGCCUGCGUCCCAUCAGCUAGUUGGUAGGGUAACGGCCUACCAAGGCGAAGACGGGUAGGGGACCUUAGAGGGUGACCCCCCACAAUGGAACUGAAACACGGUCCAUACACCUACGGGUGGCUG
rnacentral:rRNA from 1 species